AACGAACGCUGGCGGCGGGGCUUAGGCAUGCAAGUCGAGCGAGAAAGCCGAAAGGCGAGUAAAGCGGCGGUAAGGGUGAGUAAUGGGUAGUCAACGUACCGAGCUGACGCGAAUAAUCCUCCGAAAGGAGUUGUAAUGCGCGAUGAGACCACGCGCCCUCUGGGGCGAGGGGUCAAAGGUCGGGGGAUCCUUCGGGACCUGGCGCAGUUUGAGCGGACUACCUCUGAUUAGCUAGUUGGGCGGGGGAACGGCCCACCAAGGCGAUGAUCAGUAGCCGGCCUGAGGAGGGGUGUUCGGCCAUACUGGGACUGAGACACUGCCCAGACUCCGUACGGGAGGCUGCAGUCGCGAAUCAUUCACAAUGGACGCAAGUCUGAUGAUGCCACGCCGCGUGCGGGAUGAA
rnacentral:rRNA from 1 species